GGAUGUUCUGAAGACCUGCACUCUAGGCCACGCACGGAGGACAUUAGUUCCUCACGGGCCCCGCGCCCGCCUAGGGGAAAGUCCCCGGACCGCCGGCAGAGAGUGCCGGGCGCGGGCGCGCCCCGCCCGCCGCCGCCUCACGCCUAACCCCGCCGAGAGGCCCUCGGGCUGAGCGGGUGAGCGCGGGGCGGGCCCUCGUCACCGCCACAGACACGCAGGUAGUGCAACGGGCGCACCAACAGAACGGGGCUCACUCUCAGGCCAUC
rnacentral:RNase_MRP_RNA from 1 species